rnacentral:rRNA from 1 species
UACGGAGGGUGCAAGCGUUAAUCGGAAUUACUGGGCGUAAAGCGUGCGUAGGCGGUUCGUUAAGUCUGUUGUGAAAGCCCCCGGGCUCAACCUGGGGAAUGGCAAUGGAUACUGGCGAGCUAGAGUGUGUCAGAGGAUGGUGGAAUUCCCGGUGUAGCGGUGAAAUGCGUAGAGAUCGGGAGGAACAUCAGUGGCGAAGGCGGCCAUCUGGGACAACACUGACGCUGAGGCACGAAAGCGUGGGGAGCAAACAGG